rnacentral:lncRNA from 1 species
UCUUGCUCUUCCACUUUUCCGCAGGGCCCCUGACCAUUCCUGUUUUGUGAGAUGGAAUCUGGAGCCCCAUCCCUCCCUCCUUCCUUCCUCUCCUGUCCACUCCUGCCGUGGAUCUGGGGAUCUGGAGAGGCAGGGCCAGGGUCCGUAGGCUGAACUAGGUGAGCGGCUAAAGUCCAGAGCAAAGGCAUGGAGAAUUGGGAGCUGGUUUUGACCCAGUCAGUCCCAUCGCCUGUCUGAACCUGAUACUGAAACCAGAAGUUCCAGGUCGAAGCUCUGGCUUGCCUAUAUCUCCCCACUGGAUAAGACCCUUUUCCAGCGUGAGCCUCAGUUUCCCUACCUAUAAGGCGCUUGUGGAGCUGAAGGAAGUGCUGCCAUGCGCUGUGCAGGUGUGUCACAUUAUCACCCAGGCCCACUUCAAGGCAAACAGAUGAAAACGACAACAUUGUCUUCAGAGCCACCUGGGCUGUGGGCUGCGGGCAAGCAGGAGGGAAGUUUCUCUCUAGGCACCAGCCCAAGAACAAAAGACUGCUUUGGACUUGAACUGUUCCUUAGUAAGAAAACAGUAACUGGAAGCUGGUUAAAAUCAUCAGGAGGGCUUUGUGGGAUGCUUCGGAGAUUUUCUUCUUCCUGGUUAUUUAGGAUUAACAGUCAGCGUAGAAUCUGUGCCUGCAUCCAGACACAGGGACGGGAGGUUUGGAGGAGGGGAGGAGGAGAAGCCAUGGCGAAGGUUCAUAGCUUAGGAGACCCGAAGCCAAGGGAAUAGGCCAGAAGCAGAUCCUGAGAAUGCCAUGUGCUCACUGCCCUGCAGGGCUCUUAUUGCCCUCAGAGAAAAAGCCACAGUCCUGGCCAACCCCGCCCCCCAGGACUCUAUACAGCCCUGUCCCAGUUACAGCCCUGACCUCCUGCCCUUGCUCUGUUGCUCUGACCACACUGACCCCCUCGCAGUUCCUCUGACGUGCCAGGCAUCCUCCCGCCCCAGGGCCUUUGCAUGCGCUGUUCCCUCUGCCUGGAAUUCUUUUCCCCACAAUAUAAAUAUGUCUCACUUUCUCAUGUCCUUCACCAUGUUAUCUCCUUCGAGAAGUCUUUCCUGACCACCCUCUGAAAGAAAGGAACUCUAGGCCGGGCAUGGUGGCUCACGCCUGUAAUCCCAGCACUUUGGGAGGCUGAGGUGGGCAGAUCAUGAGGUCAGG